GUUACUGCUAUCGGAGUUCGAUUAAGCCAUGCGAGUCUAAAGGUUUCUUCGGAAGCCUUGGCGGACUGCUCAGUAACACGUGGAUAACCUGCCCUUAGGUCUGGCAUAACCCCGGGAAACUGGGGAUAAUACCGGAUAGAUCAGGGGUCGCUGGAAUGCGCCCUGAUCCAAAGCUCCGGCGCCUAAGGAUGGGUCUGCGACCUAUCAGGUUGUAGUGGGUGUAAUGUACCUACUAGCCGACGACGGGUACGGGUUGUGAGAGCAAGAGCCCGGAGAUGGAUUCUGAGACACGAAUCCAGGCCCUACGGGGUGCAGCAGGCGCGAAACCUUUACAAUGUGCGAAAGCAUGAUAAGGGAACUCCGAGUGCCAGCAUUAAAUGUUGGCUGUCCUUGUGCCUAAAACGCACAAGAUAGCAAGGGCCGGGUAAGACCGGUGCCAGCCGCCGCGGUAACACCGGCGGCCCGAGUGGUAGCCGCUAUUAUUGGGUCUAAAGGGUCCGUAGCCGGUUUGAUAAGUCCUCUGGGAAAUCUGAUUGCUCAACAAUCAGGCUGCCAAGGGAUACUGUCAAACUUGAGACCGGGAGAGGUAAGAGGUACUUCAGGGGUAGGAGUGAAAUCUUAUAAUCCUUGGGGGACCGUCUGUGGCGAAGGCGUCUUACCAGAACGGGUCUGACGGUGAGGGGCGAAAGCUGGGGGCGCGAACCGGAUUAGAUACCCGGGUAGUCCCAGCCGUAAACGAUGCUCGCUAUGUGUCAGAUACGGUGCGACCGUAUCUGGUGCCGUAGGGAAGCCGUGAAGCGAGCCACCUGGGAAGUACGGCCGCAAGGCUGAAACUUAAAGGAAUUGGCGGGGGAGCACUACAACGGGUGGAGCCUGCGGUUU
rnacentral:rRNA from 1 species